AAAAGGAAAGAAAGGAAAAACAAGAACAAAACCUAGGUGGAGGAUUUCAAGAGAAAAAGUGUGAAAAAUCAAGGAAAACAAGUGAAAAAGGUAAGAUUUUUCAAUUUAAACUUGAAAUCUAUUUUCCUUAAGCAUUUCUCCUUAUUUUUUAUGGUUAAAUUACAUGUUUUCAUGAAGAAUUCAUGGCUGGUCAAAAUGGGUAUGGAGAGAGAAAGAUGUUGGAUUGAAUUGAUUUUAAGAUAUGUUAGUGUUUUUAGUUAGCUUAGUAUAUUUAGAAGCAAAACAACAAGAAAAGAAUCCAUUUUCCCCAUGAAUCUUCAUUGGCAGAAUCUUCCUUGAUGUGUGUGGCUGAUGGAUUAUUAUUAUUUCAAGAGAAAUGGCUUAGAAAAUGAUGAAUAAUUGUGAGAAAAAUUAAGUAGGAAAAAUCACGGUGUUAGUGCACUAUAAUGGCCAAAUUUUUCCAUGAAGAAAUGGGAGGGUUUUGAUGUUGAAAUUGGUGUUAUUUGAAUAAUGUUUGGUGAAUUGAGGCAUUAGAAAAGAAAUGGAGUAAUUUGGGAUUAAAUUGGACGCGUUAGCAAUUAAUCGGGGUGAUAAGUCGAAUUAGGCCAAUAUCGGGGAUUAGAUGGUUACCAGUACAUUUUGCAUUUCAUAUCAUGCAUUAGUAGUCUAAAUUAGUUUAAAUUCAAUUUAGUACCAAUGAAGUAAGUUUCUUGAUUUUGUACUGUGUUAAGGUGGUGAGUCCUCCGAUAAAGGCAAGGGAAUUGCACCCGAGGACCAGUAAUCUGAGUACUUCGAAAAUCCUCAUUCUAGACAUUGUGAGUAACCUUAUUAUCAUUUUAAUUAUCUAAAGUAUGUUUUAACUCGGUUUGGUGAAAUUUUAUGAAAAUGAGUUAAAUGGCAAAUUUUAGGUUUUAUAAUAAAAAAUGUGUUUAAAUGAAAAGAUUUUAUAAAUUGUCUUGAAACGAAAUAACGAUUUUGAAAUUAGAGUAAUUGGAGACCACCGGUAUGUUGUAAAUUUAUGAUUGGAAAUUGAUGUCUUAUGUUAUAUUGUUAUUGUGUUGGCAUGACUGGCUGGGCUGUGUUUUAUAAAUUGUAUGAAUUGUUUUAUUUUACCCUUGCAGGCUGGGUAGUAAAAUAUUAGCCCUGUCAUGCUGUCAAAAUUUUAUUGUAUGGUGGGUUUAGCUUGCUGCAGUAGGCGAAUUCUGUGGACCAGCCUAUUAGAGGGGCACAGAAUUUGGAUAUACAUAUGUACCUUGGUCGGAGAGGUGCGUAGGGUAUCUCCUGAGGUAUGGUUAGAGUUCACGUCACGCCGAACCACCUCGUGAUGAUGAACUCCGCUAACUCCAAGGAACGACUGUGUUUUUCAAACUAAUAAUUUGUUUACGUGUAUACGAAAUCUUUAACAACCUUGGCGGACUCGGUUAGAUGCCUCGACCAAGGUAUCCCCGAGAAUGAUUUUGGCAGGAGCCAAGCUUUUAAAAUACUCAUAAGCCAUGUUGAUUAUGUAAAUGAAAUGAGUAUUUAUGUUAUGAAAAACAUAUUUAGAUGAAAUGUUUUAAUAGUCUCUUUUUACUCGACUUUAGAUCUUUUGAAUGAUGUUUGUUUACUCACUGGGAUUAUAAAAUCUAACCACUCUCAUUUCCAACCAUUUCAGGUUCAGAUUAGGUUGUAGAUAGUUGAGUUCAUCGAGGACUACCCUUGGAUUUGCAUUCCUUCAAACUGUAGGUUCACAGUCCUCUUUACUUUUGGUUAUUCGGGGGCUCACUUGUUAUUGUAAAUUAAAUUAAAUACUCUAACUUACUGCAUUACAGUAUGUAUGAAUUUAUUUAGCUUUUACGCUACAAAAAUUAUUUACGUAUAACUCUAUAAAUAUUGUUUUAUAAGAAAAUAGAAUAUUUUACUUAAUAUUUCUUUUAUUUUCUUAUUAUAUCCAAAUAAUCGCA
rnacentral:lncRNA from 1 species